rnacentral:rRNA from 1 species
CAGUCGCCGCGGUAAUACGGAGGGUGCAAGCGUUAUCCGGAUUUAUUGGGUUUAAAGGGUCCGUAGGCGGAUCUGUAAGUCAGUGGUGAAAUCUCACAGCUUAACUGUGAAACUGCCAUUGAUACUGCAGGUCUUGAGUAAAUUUGAAGUGGCUGGAAUAAGUAGUGUAGCGGUGAAAUGCAUAGAUAUUACUUAGAACACCAAUUGCGAAGGCAGGUCACUAAGAUUUAACUGACGCUGAUGGACGAAAGCGUGGGGAGCAAACAGGAUUAGAUACCCGGGUAGUCCCUGUCUCUUAUAC